rnacentral:SRP_RNA from 1 species
GCCAGGUGUGGUGGCACAUGCCUGUAGUCUCAGUUACUCGGGAGGCUGAGGCAGGAGGAUUGCUUGAGCCCAGGACUUUGGGGCUGCAGUGAGCCAAGAUUGCACCACUGCACUCCAGCCUGGGCAACACAGUGAGAUCCUGUCUCCA